rnacentral:pre_miRNA from 1 species
GCGUGAAUCAUCUGGGGAUCUUGUUAAAAUGCAGAUUCUGAUCCAGUAGGUCUGGGGCAGGGCCUGAGACCCUGCAUUUAUAACCAGCUCCCAGGUGAUUGAUGC